rnacentral:rRNA from 1 species
UACGUAGGGUGCGAGCGUUGUCCGGAAUUAUUGGGCGUAAAGAGCUUGUAGGCGGUUUGUCGCGUCUGCCGUGAAAAUCCGGGGCUCAACCCCGGACUUGCGGUGGGUACGGGCAGACUAGAGUGUGGUAGGGGAGACUGGAAUUCCUGGUGUAGCGGUGAAAUGCGCAGAUAUCAGGAGGAACACCGGUGGCGAAGGCGGAUCUCUGGGCCAUUACUGACGCUGAGGAGCGAAAGCGUGGGGAGCGAACAGG